rnacentral:rRNA from 1 species
UGAGGAAUAUUGGUCAAUGGUCGAGAGACUGAACCAGCCAAGUCGCGUAAGGAUGACUGCCCUAUGGGUUGUAAACUUCUUUUACAAGGGAAUAAAAUGAGAUACGUGUAUUUUAUUGCAUGUACCUUGGGAAUAAGCAUCGGCUAACUCCGUGCCAGCAGCCGCGGUAAUACGGAGGAUGCGAGCGUUAUCCGGAUUUAUUGGGUUUAAAGGGUGCGUAGGUGGGCUGUUAAGUCAGCGGUGAAAGUUUGUCGCUUAACGAUAAAAUUGCCGUUGAAACUGGUAGUCUUGAGUAUAGAUGAAGUAGGCGGAAUGCGUGGUGUAGCGGUGAAAUGCAUAGAGAUCACGCAGAACUCCGAUUGCGAAGGCAGCUUACUAAGGUAUAACUGACACUGAAGCACGAAAGCGUGGGUAUCAAACAGG